GGAAACAUCUUCCUUUGGUGAUCAUAAAAGCACCACUUGCAUAUUUCCAUAUGGAAUAUCCUCAGAACCUUGUUCACAAACAUAGGGAGAACUGAGAAGCAAACCUGAGUGGUUCUGGCACCCUAAGGAUUUCGGAGAUAAUAACUGUGAGGAGAAGAGACAGAGAAUCCAUCAUACAUUCAUGCACAGUACCCACAAGGACUUGAAUGACAGAAAGUUCAUUUUUCUCCGAGUGAACAUCUGAUUAGAGUAGCCCAUGCUUUACCCCCCUUUGGGAGACAUGCUGUCAGCCAGCAAAGCCAUGGUGGUCAUCGUAGCUGUCACUGCCUAUCCAACAGCUGCUCUGUUACACAUUCCCUAACCUGGCAAGAACCGUGCCGCGGAGAUUCUGCCGCUUUUCCCCGCCCUGGCUCUGUGCUGCCCUGGCCCUGGCCCUCCAGCAGGCAGGCUGGCUGGCAACUCUCCCUGCAGCUGCUUCCCACCCUCCCAGCACUGGUUCACCAAAGCAGGAGCUCUCCCAAAGGUACUUUCUAUGGCCUUGGCCCUGGAGAGUGAGCAUCACCCCAUUAAGGAACCAGAACUCCUCAGCUGUAAGCUUGCGGUGCCCUAACCUGCUUGGUACCCACAUUGUGCAGAUAGUGGCACACUGUGGGGGUCUUUGCUGCACCAAUGGAAGGAAAUUAUGAGGGAAAAAUUAUGCUGAAGUGGACAUUUUGAAUUAUUUACACUCAAGGCAGAGCAUGGCUUGAUGAAUAGAAAGUUAAUCAAAUCAUCUCUGUAUGUUGCCCCAAUAUGAAAAGAAUUACGUCAGCACAGUAGCCAUGCUCUAGCCAAGCGCUAGCUCAGAACACGGGCUAGGUAAGAAAGAAUUCAAUGCAAAUUGCAUUCAAUAGAUGGAUGUCCUAAGCAUCACCUGCACAGUCAUUUCAGUUUAAUGCUAAAGAGUUCAAAAUGUUAUUUUAAUUACACAAAACUGGGUAUUGUAAUAUUGCCUUUGGAACAAUCUUUUAUAUUUCCAUCUUUGUUGAAGAUGUAAUUAGAACAUGAAUAGAGUUUAAACUGCCACCACAGCUGGUUACACCUUCCUGGAGGGACUUUGCACUAAUGGCAGGUGUCCUGGUUAGGAUUGUAUUUUAUGUCUCUCACAUAUGAGUAGCUCUGUGUUCCACAAUGAAAUCCAGAACUGAAAUCAAUGUGAGACGUUCUUAAACAUCAUACUGUUCUAGAAGCCUGAAGGUAUAGCAAACUGCUUUAAUUUUUUUAGAAUUAACGUAUAUUCUUGCUUGGGUAAACCACACAGAGCUUAAAAAAAUUAAAUUAAAAAUUUUCCCUAAUUUUUUGGCUAAGUGACAGCCAAGUGAAAAAGAGUUAAUCUGACAUUCCAAAUGCAGUGUUUCUUUAGAACUCAGGGGUCAAAAUCUAGCUGUUACUCCUAAUCUGCUGCUCUGCAUCAGAAAAUCAUGAAAUUCAAACUUCAACUUCCCUUUCCCUACAGCUUGCCCCGGCAUGGGAAUUGAUUAAUCACACACAGCAAUCAACUUUUUGGUAUAUAAGUGAAUACAAAUUACAAUACUGAUGGAGAUUUAACUGUUGGUGUCAUAGAACACAGUGCUCGUGAAAAAAACAGUUGGUUUAUCCACUGCAGGGAUUCAGUUACAUUUCCAAAUACCCCUUCAAAAUAAAGCACAGAAAGACUGAGAGGAUGGGCAUUUUAAUUGUUUUCUCUGCCUUUCUAUUUCUCUAUGUUUGUUUAUGUAAUUGAUAAUUUUUAAAAGGAUUGUCUUCCAUUUAUCUCAAUCCUUUGACUUACCAGAGAUAACAAAUUUGCUCUCCCAUAAUUUUGUUGCAGAAGUUCUGGGAAAUCUCAAAAAUGUUAUGAACCUUACUGAAAGUUUAGAGCACUGAAUAUUCUUUCCUCUAAAAUGUGAAUUAGUCACUGAAAUUAAAUAAAACGUGUUCUAAAAAGGGUGUGUGUGUGGGGGGAAUCUCCAAGAAAGAAUGAAUUUGAAAAUACUUGACCAAAAAUCCCUGCUUUUCUGAGUUGAUUAACACUUAGUCCCAGUUAUGUAAAAACAUGACAGAAAGCUAAACAUUAAAGUUACACUUUCUUCUGACACAUCCCCAUUCAGUCAUGUCUGAUGUUAUGCUCCUUUCUAAUUCUGUACAAUAAGUCAGAAAGAGAAAUAAUAACUCUAUAUAUGAAACUUUUACUACAUUUCACAUACAUUACCAAUGUAUAAUGGUAACAGAUAUGCAGUAGAUGUUUUCAUGCUAAAUAUGACGUUUGUAAUGUCUUCUUGCUUUCUUUGCCCUUAUGCAAUUCCGCUUGUUAGGCCAUUUCAAUUGUUUAUACUGCGAGAUUUUUGGAAUAGAUAUGUUAACAAUGCCUGAAAAAACAUACUCAAAUCCCUCAUACUGAUGUUAAUAAUGCACAA